AUCUGUUUCAUGUCUAGACGCUACUCUUGUCUUCUAUUAUUCCAUGUUCAUUAUAUUAUUAAACUCACCACCUGCUUCUCGACUCCCUCUACAUUACAGAAUACUGCCUCGACAAAUGGAAGCAGCAGGAACACAGGAUAUCUCCCAGACGGUCGACGGACAGGGAUACCUACUUCGUCAGCACCACGAUCAGCUGGCGCAGCUGGGGAUGGCUAUGGAAGAGGUUCUUCGCAGUCUUCAACGUCUCGAACUGCCUUCCACUAGCGGAGGAUACUCUACCACCAGCGGGCCAGCACACCAGUCCAUUCAGCAGUCCGCCCAGGCCGGUGGUUCCUGGUCCCCUGGCUGAGGCUGUCCCCCACGACACCCAUCCGCCUCCCCUAGAUGUCCAUGGUGGUCCCGCCUAUGCUGUCAGAUCCCUACUGGACUCCUGACGUCAUGGGGGUCAGCUCCAGUACCUGGUGGACUGGGAGGGGUACGAUCCAGAGGAGCGGUGUUGGGUUCUGGUGGAGGACAUUCUGGAUCCAUCCGGGAUUUCCACCUUCACCGUCCGGAACGGCCCGCUCCUCGCCCUCGAGGCCGUCCCCUUGGCUGGUGUCGUCCUGCCGCUAGAGCCGCGUGUCGGGGAUACUGUCACGUCUACUCCCUCUCCAGCACUCAACGUUUCCGGUUUACUAAUCACUGGCUCUGACUACCAUCAUUACGCACACCUGGCACCUUUGUUACGCACACCUGCGCCUCAUCAUGAGACACACCUGGACUUCAUCACUUUACUGAUUACCUCCGCUAUAUCUGUCAUUCCCUUAGUUCCAUUCCCCAGGCAGUAUUUACUAUGUUUUUUUAUUUCUAGACGCUACUCUUGUCUUGUAUUGUUCAUUAUAUUUUUCAACUCACCAACUGCUUCUCGACUCCCAGCGUCUACGUUACACAUCCCUCCUUCCACAAAUGCAUAAUAAGCCUACAGUUUUUCCAGGUGCGGGACUUUCUUCAACGGUUUCAAUCAUGCUUCAAAUAUAUAUAGCGCUCUUUUUUCAU
rnacentral:lncRNA from 1 species